CCAAAAAUCUUUUUUUUACAUUUGUAUUAUUUCGGAGAAAAAGAAAGUAAAAGCUGUGCUUUUUGCACAUUCAAUGAGGAAAUGUUUUGCCCCCAAAAGAGCGUCUUGACUGACAUCCAUCUGGUGUUUCAUCCGCAAUGCGUCAUUGAGACGCGACUCCGGGGCCGAUCGAUAAACGCAGAGGCCUCUGGCGGAAAUGCGACCAGAGACUGUCCGUACGAGAACUGACCUGAGAGCAGAGCAGCAUGACCAGUUCCACCACCGACGUGCUGGACUUCAUACACACCAGACCUGCGGUGCGUAGACGCACUUGGUCACAAGGCGGCAAAAUAUCCAAAUUGAAGACGACACAAAAACAGUCGAGGAUGCAGGAAGGACCUCAUACCUGCUUGGUGAAUGAGUGAAGCAGCCAGCUCAAAGACCAAGCCCAACGCUCAAAGACCAAGCAAGCCGAACAAGGGAGUAGUAGUAAGGUUUGUUGUACAGCACCUGUACCUUCAAUGAGAAGCUCCUGCCCAUGACUCCCCAGGAGCGUGCGCGACAGGAAUGGCGCAAAGUCAACAAAAAUUUCCCUCAGGAGCGGCGCCACCUUCUCCAGCGCUCGUUCCAGCUUGGUGGUGAUGCU